AGCUUUGUGCAAUGGCAGUAUCGUAGCCAAUGAGGUUUAUCCAAGGCAUGAUUAUUGCUAAAUGAUGAUUUUUAUAUUGUUAAUUACUGUGAUUAUUUUAGGGCUCUGUUUGGACUUUUUGCUGACACCUGGAUUGGA